rnacentral:sRNA from 1 species
UUGACACCGCGUGAGGGAUAGUAGUGGAAAUCCUUUAGGAGCGCGAGCGACUAAAGAUUGCAACGGAUAGCCCGGCCCGAA